UUAAGCGACUAAGCGUACACGGUGGAUGCCCUGGCAGUCAGAGGCGAUGAAGGACGUGCUAAUCUGCGAUAAGCGUCGGUAAGGUGAUAUGAACCGUUAUAACCGGCGAUUUCCGAAUGGGGAAACCCAGUGUGAUUCGUCACACUAUCAUUAACUGAAUCCAUAGGUUAAUGAGGCGAACCGGGGAACUGAAACAUCUAAGUACCCCGAGGAAAAGAAAUCAACCGAGAUUCCCCCAGUAGCGGCGAGCGAACGGGGAGCAGCCCAGAGCCUGAAUCAGUGUGUGUGUUAGUGGAAGCGUCUGGAAAGGCGCGCGAUACAGGGUGACAGCCCCGUACACAAAAAUGCACAUGCUGUGAGCUCGAUGAGUAGGGCGGGACACGUGGUAUCCUGUCUGAAUAUGGGGGGACCAUCCUCCAAGGCUAAAUACUCCUGACUGACCGAUAGUGAACCAGUACCGUGAGGGAAAGGCGAAAAGAACCCCGGCGAGGGGAGUGAAAAAGAACCUGAAACCGUGUACGUACAAGCAGUGGGAGCCUCUUUUAUGGGGUGACUGCGUACCUUUUGUAUAAUGGGUCAGCGACUUAUAUUCUGUAGCAAGGUUAACCGAAUAGGGGAGCCGAAGGGAAACCGAGUCUUAACUGGGCGUUAAGUUGCAGGGUAUAGACCCGAAACCCGGUGAUCUAGCCAUGGGCAGGUUGAAGGUUGGGUAACACUAACUGGAGGACCGAACCGACUAAUGUUGAAAAAUUAGCGGAUGACUUGUGGCUGGGGGUGAAAGGCCAAUCAAACCGGGAGAUAGCUGGUUCUCCCCGAAAGCUAUUUAGGUAGCGCCUCGUGAAUUCAUCUCCGGGGGUAGAGCACUGUUUCGGCAAGGGGGUCAUCCCGACUUACCAACCCGAUGCAAACUGCGAAUACCGGAGAAUGUUAUCACGGGAGACACACGGCGGGUGCUAACGUCCGUCGUGAAGAGGGAAACAACCCAGACCGCCAGCUAAGGUCCCAAAGUCAUGGUUAAGUGGGAAACGAUGUGGGAAGGCCCAGACAGCCAGGAUGUUGGCUUAGAAGCAGCCAUCAUUUAAAGAAAGCGUAAUAGCUCACUGGUCGAGUCGGCCUGCGCGGAAGAUGUAACGGGGCUAAACCAUGCACCGAAGCUGCGGCAGCGACGCUGAUGCGUUGUUGGGUAGGGGAGCGUUCUGUAAGCCUGUGAAGGUGUGCUGUGAGGCAUGCUGGAGGUAUCAGAAGUGCGAAUGCUGACAUAAGUAACGAUAAAGCGGGUGAAAAGCCCGCUCGCCGGAAGACCAAGGGUUCCUGUCCAACGUUAAUCGGGGCAGGGUGAGUCGACCCCUAAGGCGAGGCCGAAAGGCGUAGUCGAUGGGAAACAGGUUAAUAUUCCUGUACUUGGUGUUACUGCGAAGGGGGGACGGAGAAGGCUAUGUUGGCCGGGCGACGGUUGUCCCGGUUUAAGCGUGUAGGCUGGUUUUCCAGGCAAAUCCGGAAAAUCAAGGCUGAGGCGUGAUGACGAGGCACUACGGUGCUGAAGCAACAAAUGCCCUGCUUCCAGGAAAAGCCUCUAAGCAUCAGGUAACAUCAAAUCGUACCCCAAACCGACACAGGUGGUCAGGUAGAGAAUACCAAGGCGCUUGAGAGAACUCGGGUGAAGGAACUAGGCAAAAUGGUGCCGUAACUUCGGGAGAAGGCACGCUGAUAUGUAGGUGAAGUCCCUCGCGGAUGGAGCUGAAAUCAGUCGAAGAUACCAGCUGGCUGCAACUGUUUAUUAAAAACACAGCACUGUGCAAACACGAAAGUGGACGUAUACGGUGUGACGCCUGCCCGGUGCCGGAAGGUUAAUUGAUGGGGUCAGCGCAAGCGAAGCUCUUGAUCGAAGCCCCGGUAAACGGCGGCCGUAACUAUAACGGUCCUAAGGUAGCGAAAUUCCUUGUCGGGUAAGUUCCGACCUGCACGAAUGGCGUAAUGAUGGCCAGGCUGUCUCCACCCGAGACUCAGUGAAAUUGAACUCGCUGUGAAGAUGCAGUGUACCCGCGGCAAGACGGAAAGACCCCGUGAACCUUUACUAUAGCUUGACACUGAACAUUGAGCCUUGAUGUAUAGGAUAGGUGGGAGGCUUUGAAGUGUGGACGCCAGUCUGCAUGGAGCCGACCUUGAAAUACCACCCUUUAAUGUUUGAUGUUCUAACGUUGACCCGUAAUCCGGGUUGCGGACAGUGUCUGGUGGGUAGUUUGACUGGGGCGGUCUCCUCCUAAAGAGUAACGGAGGAGCACGAAGGUUGGCUAAUCCUGGUCGGACAUCAGGAGGUUAGUGCAAUGGCAUAAGCCAGCUUGACUGCGAGCGUGACGGCGCGAGCAGGUGCGAAAGCAGGUCAUAGUGAUCCGGUGGUUCUGAAUGGAAGGGCCAUCGCUCAACGGAUAAAAGGUACUCCGGGGAUAACAGGCUGAUACCGCCCAAGAGUUCAUAUCGACGGCGGUGUUUGGCACCUCGAUGUCGGCUCAUCACAUCCUGGGGCUGAAGUAGGUCCCAAGGGUAUGGCUGUUCGCCAUUUAAAGUGGUACGCGAGCUGGGUUUAGAACGUCGUGAGACAGUUCGGUCCCUAUCUGCCGUGGGCGCUGGAGAACUGAGGGGGGCUGCUCCUAGUACGAGAGGACCGGAGUGGACGCAUCACUGGUGUUCGGGUUGUCAUGCCAAUGGCACUGCCCGGUAGCUAAAUGCGGAAGAGAUAAGUGCUGAAAGCAUCUAAGCACGAAACUUGCCCCGAGAUGAGUUCUCCCUGACUCCUUGAGAGUCCUAAAGGAACGUUGAAGACGACGACGUUGAUAGGCCGGGUGUGUAAGCGCAGCGAUGCGUUGAGCUAACCGGUACUAAUGAACCGUGAGGCUUAACCUU
rnacentral:rRNA from 1 species